GGGUAUAUCCAAAGGGAUAUCCCAAAAUGACACAGCCCUCAUGGAAGCAGACUUGGAUGAUGAUGCCUCCAGCACCAGCAAGGUGGGUCGUCUUGAGCCACCUCCAACUGGAAUGGAACCCAGCCCGGCCAGUGGGGAUGUAAUGACGAGGGUAACUCAGCUCGUCCUGAAACCAUCUGCACCUCCUACACCUCCUCCACCUCCUCCACCUCCUGUGCUCAAUAGCGCUCUGAAUUCUGAUAACCACAGAGUGGCUAUAGCCUACGAGGAGGCAGUGGCAGCAUACAAGCGAAU